rnacentral:rRNA from 1 species
AGGGAAGACGGCCCUAUGGGUUGUAAACCUCUUUUGUCGGAGAACAAAACCCGGGACGAGUCCCGGACUGCGUGUAUCCGAAGAAAAAGCAUCGGCUAACUCCGUGCCAGCAGCCGCGGUAAUACGGAGGAUGCGAGCGUUAUCCGGAUUUAUUGGGUUUAAAGGGUGCGUAGGCGGUCCGUUAAGUCAGCGGUAAAAUUGCGGGGCUCAACCCCGUCGAGCCGUUGAAACUGGCAGACUUGAGUUGGCGAGAAGUACGCGGAAUGCGCGGUGUAGCGGUGAAAUGCAUAGAUAUCGCGCAGAACUCCGAUUGCGAAGGCAGCGUACCGGCGCCAGACUGACGCUGAGGCACGAAAGCGUGGGGAUCGAACAGGAUUAGAUACCCUGGUAGUCCACGCAGUAAACGAUGAAUGCUGGUUGUCCGGGUCGAAUGAGAUCUGG